CGUGAGUGAAGAAGGUUUUCGGAUCGUAAAACUCUGUUGUUAGAGAAGAACAAGGACGUUAGUAACUGAACGUCCCCUGACGGUAUCUAACCAGAAAGCCACGGCUAACUACGUGCCAGCAGCCGCGGUAAUACGUAGGUGGCAAGCGUUGUCCGGAUUUAUUGGGCGUAAAGCGAGCGCAGGCGGUUUCUUAAGUCUGAUGUGAAAGCCCCCGGCUCAACCGGGGAGGGUCAUUGGAAACUGGGAGACUUGAGUGCAGAAGAGGAGAGUGGAAUUCCAUGUGUAGCGGUGAAAUGCGUAGAUAUAUGGAGGAACACCAGUGGCGAAGGCGGCUCUCUGGUCUGUAACUGACGCUGAGGCUCGAAAGCGUGGGGAGCAAACAGGAUUAGAUACCCUGGUAGUCCACGCCGUAAACGAUGAGUGCUAAGUGUUGGA
rnacentral:rRNA from 1 species